rnacentral:tRNA from 1 species
GCACCAGUGGCGGAAUCGGCAGACGCGCACGUUUGAGGGGCGUGUGGUUAUACCGUGUGGGUUCAAGUCCCAUCUGGUGCA